CAUAUCAAUAAGCGGAGGAAAAGAAACUAACAAGGAUUCCCCUAGUAACUGCGAGUGAAGCGGGAAAAGCUCAAAUUUAAAAUCUGGUAGUCUCUGGCUGCCCGAGUUGUAAUCUAGAGAAGUGUUAUCCGCGCUGGACCGUGUACAAGUCUCCUGGAAUGGAGCGUCAUAGAGGGUGAGAAUCCCGUCUUUGACACGGACUACCAGGGCUUUUGUGAUGCGCUCUCAAAGAGUCGAGUUGUUUGGGAAUGCAGCUCUAAAUGGGUGGUAAAUUCCAUCUAAAGCUAAAUAUUGGCGAGAGACCGAUAGCGAACAAGUACCGUGAGGGAAAGAUGAAAAGAACUUUGGAAAGAGAGUUAAACAGUACGUGAAAUUGUUGAAAGGGAAACGCUUGAAGUCAGUCGCGUUGKCCAGGAWUCAGCCUUGCUUUUGCUUGGUGUAUUUCCUGGCUGAUGGGUCAGCAUCAAUUUUGACCGGUGGAAAAAGGUCAGGGGAAUGUGGCAUCUUCGGAUGUGUUAUAGCCUCUGGUCGUAUACAUCGGUUGGGAUUGAGGAACUCAGCACGCCGCAAGGUCGGGUUUUUAACCACGUUCGUGCUUAGGAUGCUGGCAUAAUGGCUUUAAUCGACCCGUCUUGAAACACGGACCAAGGAGUCUAACAUGCCUGCGAGUGUUUGGGUGGAAAACCCGAGCGCGYAAUGAAAGUGAAAGUUGAGAUCCCUGUCGUGGGGAGCAUCGACGCCCGGACCAGACCUUCUGUGACGGCUCCGCGGUAGAGCAUGUAUGUUGGGACCCGAAAGAUGGUGAACUAUGCCUGAAUAGGGUGAAGCCAGAGGAAACUCUGGUGGAGGCUCGUAGCGAUUCUGACGUGCAAAUCGAUCGUCAAAUUUGGGUAUAGGGGCGAAAGACU
rnacentral:rRNA from 1 species